AUUUCUACGGGCUCAACAUUUGACACAUUUUGCUCGCUACGGGCGGCAUCUGAGGGAGAACGUGAAGGUGGAGAUAUAUACAACUCAACAAAUAGAUAAAAUAAUAAAUUCAAUAUUAUUAUUAUUUAACUAACUCGAGGCAAAAAGUAAAAGAAAAUGAGAUCAGGUGAUUUCAUUGGCAGAACACCCGAAUUGUAGCAAUAAUAAUAUGGUAUUAUUAUAAUAAUAAAACGCGUAGUACUUCUUUCUGCGUUGGCGGCCUUCGGCCGCGCUUUAAAAAAAUAACCAUGGUCGAGCCAAUACCCAGGGUGGCUGAAGUACUUUUGCGUAGUACUCCUUUUAUUACGUAAUAUUAUUUAAUAUUACUUAGUUGUUUAGUAAUUUUAAAUAAGAAAAUAUCCACAUGCAUGGGAAGAUUGGUUAUACUCAUUUUAUUUUGAAAUAUAAUUUAUAGACGCUUUGUAAGAAGUAAGAUUGCUAAAAGAGGAAAAUAGCCGAAAUGAGAAAUUUCAGCGAAUUCCUCAUAUUUGCUCAAUUUCAUAUAGCAGCGCUCCACUUCCUCAUAAUUGUUAGCACAUAUGUAAAUGAUGCUCGCAACGAGUGUAAAAGUAUUCAUCAGUGAUGCCACUCUAAAUAAAUUGGAGUUGCGACAUUAUUAUAUAUGUAUUUAGAAAAUGAGCAGUUUCCACAUCACCAUUGAGGAUUGAGGUAUGCAAAAUUCACGUCACCGAAGUUAGUUUUGGGUGCUCGGUUCUCCAGUAAGGGAGUGUAAAUAAUUUUACAAACUACCGACAUCUAAUUCUACAGAAUUUUAACAACGUACUGAUUUUAGCAGUUCGUUUCAGCGCUAUUCUUCUGGCAUCCCAGCUUUUUCACCAACAGCUAAUUGACGGGACCCUGAUUGUGUUUUGUUGCCAGCUCAGAAAAAAGAUCAGGGUCAGCUGCAAGCUGCAUAACGAGAGAGUAAGAAAGAUAGUGUAACAGUGAAAGCGGCCACUACAUAAGUUCGAAAAUCUAAGUAACCAGAAAUAUUUUCGUGUCUUCAUUUCUUACAGUGUCAAACUAAGUUCAAAGGCCAAUAGUUUGCAUCCUUAGAUCCAUAAAGAGAUUAUAUCAUUAUACAUUUUGUAAUAAAUUCUUUUAUUCUUAAAAUGCCAACCUUUAUUUUAUACCACAUUUCAAAUACAGUGUUAGAAUGAACAUACAUAUGUACUUAUGUACAUAUACAUAAAUGUAUAUUUUCUAUCUGAUGUGUCGAAUGUGCACAAGUAAAACAGAGUUCAAUAAUGUUGCAGCAAAUCCCCAUAAUCAUAUAUUUUUAUUUCUUUUGUUUUUUGAACAUUUCUGUUACACUUUAAGCAAAAUUGCGGGGUUAUUCCUAACCUUUACAUGAAAUUUUAAGUUGAAAAUUUUACAUUUCUUCACCUUUGUUAUUUUGAGCCCACUGGCAAUUUAAGAAAAUGUAAUAUUUUCGAACGGCAGUUACUUAUGCGCUGUCUAUAAAUUCUUAUUAUAUAAAUCAUAAGGCUCUAAUUAAUUCAUUCGAAAUUUUUUGCAGAUCUUCAUAUUUUGUUGUUGGGCAAAAUGUAUUUAUUUCUGUGCAAAAAGGUAUGGAUACAUAUUGACAAACGAAGUUAAGACUUUAGAAAAGUAAUAAUCGAAAACGAAAAAAUUAGACGUUUAGAUAUGCAAUGGAAUGAAUAUAAUUUAAAAAAACAUUGUAAGCAAUAAAAAGUUCAGUUAUGUGUUAAUAUUACAUGUAAUCACUACAUAAAAUGUUGGUAUGCACAAUUCAUUUGUUUCUUUUUGUUUCAUAACGAUUUAGCGAAGAUGGUAUUUAAUAUGUACGCGCAUUGCAUGUGUCAAGCUUUCAUAUUCUUUCUCUAUUUUAUCAAUAUUUCGCUGUAACAGUUUGAUUGGCUGAUUAUAAUAUAGUUUUGAGAUUAUAUUGUAUAUCAUGCGCAUUUUUGAUUCAUCUUCUUACAUCAGGACAUCAUAUCAUUACUUUUAUUACAUCACCGUGCA
rnacentral:lncRNA from 1 species